GUAAUACGAACGCAAACGAACACUCGUAAUAUUCGGCUAUUUGUUGUUGGACGUAUCGUCGUAAGUUAUGCGGACGGAGAGGAGUUAAAGAUAUUGUUUAAGAAGCAAAGCUAUUUAUUGUUGUCGUAGACAGAUAAGUUUAUACUAUCCUGUUAUUUCUUUCUAAUAGCUUUCUUAAACUUAAUAAUAAUAUAAAAAUAGUUGAAGUCUUCUGUUCUUUAAUCUUUCUUGAUAUGGUGAACGUAACAGUAUACAUAGGAUUUAGGAAAUUUUAUAGUUAAGAUUUUAUGUAAUAACAGUGCUCAAUGCAUGUAAGCAGAGCAUAAAUAUAGAGGUAGCGGAAAAAUUCACAGAGCACAAUUUUAUAAUGUUGUCAAAUGUUCUCAAUAUGUGUUUGUUAUUAUUUUUGAUUAUUUGUUUGCGAUGUUGUUCAUAAAGCUCAACCUGAGUUUGCUUGUGUUAUGGUUAAAUACUUUUUUAAGUUUGUGGUCUGUGGGAAAUGCUUGUCGAUUAAUGAAAGGAACUUGUAACCAAUGUUUGUGUAGGCGUUGUUGUUGACAUGGUUGUACCAAAGUAUAUCGUGUUGAAGCCUCUUUUCCCGUUUGAUAUAGUAGCAAUUUUACUAAUUAUUUACAUACCAAAAUCAGAGUUUAAAGUUUUCUCCAUCUUUACAGAUUCCAAGACAGCUUCAAUGGGGACAGUACCCUUGAUGGAGUUCCAUCACAGACGCGCGCGUUUCUUGAGUUAAGCGUUAACAGACUUGGCUUUUGAAAAUGAAAGGGGUAUCUUUCGAGCCAGUGGUACAUUCUUCUGAGGCAAAAUGCCUGCUGAACACAUAACAAUAAUUCAAAGGUUCAAAGCUGUCCAUACGAAUUCGUAUCUUCCACGCUUCGGCCUGCACAUUGUGUGACAGGAAUCCGUGAAAAGACCGGUCUCAAAAAAAAGAAAGGUAUGCUACAUUGCUGACACAGUUAUCCAUCGCUAGAGGGAUGAAAAUAAAAAGUAAAGGAAAGGCAAAAGGAUAUUGCGUGAGACCUGGGAGAACAUCUCUGUGGUAGAAAAAAUUCUUAUCCGGUCCUGUAGUAGGUCAUGAAUGGAGAGAAGACUUCAAGAUGUCACAAUACAAUUUCAUGCAACUGUGCAACAAAAUCAGAAUCCCACUUCAAAAGAAAGUCACAAAUAUGCGUGUUCCUACAUCUGUUGAGAAGCAAGUUGCUAUGACUUUAUACUAUCUUGCUGAUGAAGGAAGAUUACGAAAAGUUGCAAAUGCAUUUGGCGUUUCCAGAUCAACUGUAUUGUUGGCUAUUACAAGAGUAUGUUUUGUAAUUUCCACUGUAUUAGGUCAUGAGUACAUCAGAUUACCUUAAACAGAACAUGAUGUAUUUAAAGCUGUCUCAAAUUUUUAUGAAAAACACGGCUUUCCACAAUGUAUUGGUGCUGUAGAUGGCACUCAUACCUUCAUUAAACAACCAGCCAACAAUGCAACUGAUUUUAUCAAUAGGAAGGAUAGAUAUUCUCUGAAUGUGCAAGCUAUUGCAGACUACAAGUAUUGUUUUCUAGAUGUUGUGGUCAAAUGGCCAGGGAGUGUGCAUGAUUCAAGGACACUUUGUAACUCAAAAGUAAAUGAGAUGUUAAAAGAAGGUGCAAUUCCCAGUUUGCAAAGAGCCUUGUUGCCAGGCACUGAACCUGUUGGAAUUUGCAUUCUUGGAGAUCCAGCAUAUCCUAUAUUCCCUUAUUUGAUGAAGGAAUUCCCUGGUGGGGGCAAGACUGCAUAGGAAUAAUUUCUUGGGUGGCGACUUUGUUCAGCCAGAAUGAUUAUUGAAUGUGCCUUUGGACGCCUGAAGAGUAGAUUUGGGUGUCUGAAGCGCGAAAUGGACAUAAACCCUGCUGAUUUGCCAAAUGUUAUUUAAAGCUGUUUUGUCUUGCACAGUUAUUGUGAAAUGAAUGUUGAGAUAAUAGCUAAUGAAAGAGUGGACAAUGCAAUAGCUUAUGACAGAGAACUUCAACCUGCAGCUUCAAGUGUACGGAACCAAGGAUGUGAGGCUUCAGCAAAGGCAGUAAGAAACAUUUUUGUGCAUGCAGUAUUUCGAUUAGAGAUUGUAUCUAGAAACAUUUUAUACAUUGAACAGACGUUAAUGAUACUAAUAUACUUGUACAAAGAUGAUUUAAUUGUUUUCGUACAUACAAUAAUCCCUUACUUUGGAAUAAAACGACAAAAAAAAGGCAAUUUAAAACUGUUUAAAAUUAUAUAAGUACUUUGUAUAAAAAGUAUAUUUAUAACAAUAGUUUUUGUGCAAUAUUUAAGCAAUUACAUUAGAUUAAACAAUGGCAACCCAAAA